CAGCAGCCACGGUAAUACGAAGGGGGCUAGCGUUGUUCGGAAUUACUGGGCGUAAAGCGCACGUAGGCGGAUAUUUAAGUCAGGGGUGAAAUCCCAGAGCUCAACUCUGGAACUGCCUUUGAUACUGGGUAUCUUGAGUAUGGAAGAGGUAAGUGGAAUUCCGAGUGUAGAGGUGAAAUUCGUAGAUAUUCGGAGGAACACCAGUGGCGAAGGCGGCUUACUGGUCCAUUACUGACGCUGAGGUGCGAAAGCGUGGGGAGCAAACAGGAUUAGAUACCCCCGUAGUCCCUGUCUCUUAUAC
rnacentral:rRNA from 1 species